rnacentral:lncRNA from 1 species
AUUGAAUUAGCUCUAAUUAGACUAAUGUGACCUUAACCGAAUCUAAUUGAAUGAAAAUUUGGUUUAAAUGUGAAAACCCCUAAUUGUGGGAGAAAUCCCCAAUUUGAAACCCUAAUUUUUAAAGAAAACCCUAAUUUCGAAAUUGGAAGCCCUAAUUUCGAAAUUUCACUAAUUGAAUGACUUAAAAACUCAAUUAAAAUGUAAAUACGCAAUUUUGGAAGUUAAUGUAUAGAAAUAAAUUGAAAUGCAAUCAUUAGGAUCUCGA